rnacentral:sRNA from 1 species
GCCCUCUUCUGGUGUGUGUCUGAAGACAGUGACAGUGUGCUCAUACAUAAAUUAGAAGUUUCUAGCAAUUUUGUCCCAGAGGUAGGGUCAUAGACUCAUUCUUGGCAUAGAUUUAGAAUGGGGCCUUUUACCCUUUUAUUACACAAAUACAAGGAGGCAGGCAUGUUGGUUGAAUUUAUUAAACAUGCCAGUUUGUCUUUUAAACACAUUUUGGGGGUUAUUGGCCUUAAGUAUCUUUAAUUAUGUGACUGUCUUAAGCAGAGUCAAUGAGCAUUUUAGACGUUUUCCUUGAAUACAUUCGGUUAAUACCAUUUUCCAGAAUUAUCCAUGCAGUUACCAUUGUCCCUCCUACAAUUUAGAGUUUCUCCUUCUGUUACGGAUUUCCUUUGGCUUUCCACUGUGCUUAGUAUCGUCUAACACGUGAUCAUACACUGUACAGUUCACAUAAGUGCUACCCGGUGAGCCAAGGGUCAGCGUCAUUCUCCCGUGUUUCUCAAGUGCUUACAGAGAGCUGGCUUGUAGAAGCCGCUAGUAGUGUUGAAUAAAUGGUUAACUGAUCUUUGUCUUAAAAGAACAAACACUCCUACAUUUGUGCAUAUUUUGCAGGUCAUGAUUAUUUUAAAUAUUUUAUUAUAGAAGUCAGUUUUUCCUGUCCCUAAUAUUUCGGUAUUUACAUAUUAUAUUUCAAAUAUCAUCAAAUGGCCUCUUCACCGACUUUGCUGAGGACUUUUACUUUAAAACCCACAAAAAUUUAAGGUGAUUUGAAUAGCUUUGGACAGUUUUUUUUUUGGUGGCAUUUUGAUCUGUAGGUUUUGUUUUAUCUUCCUAACAAUGUUUUAACAGUGAGUUUUCUUUUGUCUUCGUAAUGUUUAAGAAAUGUUCCUUCAUCCCAUCUGUAUCUCUCUCAGUUCUGUGCUGCCGUGGGAGUUGGGUCAGAACAUUUAUUGGAGACCUCAGGGGUGUACUAGUGCCCUGCCUCGUGUGGACUGCUGACCCUUGGAGGGCAGGGAUAAAGGAGAACGUGGGAGGACUGAGGACAGAUGUUGGUGUGGGGAGUUCUGGAGCGGACCCCUUGUGAGCAUGUUAGGACCCAGCAAACCGGAAUGCCUUCUCAGCUUCCUGAAGAACAAGGCAGGUGGAUGAAGAGGGGUUGCCCCUGACAGCCCUGCUCCUGACCUUGCUCAAGGAAGACCUUCAAUACCCACCUCCAUCUGACUGAGUUCUGUUAAGGAAGAUAACACUCACAUCUUUGGCUCUCUUCACGAGUGGAGUAAGCCUUCCAUUCUUCAAAGGGAGAACUCCCAGAAGCCAGCAGUGCCCUUGACAAAACCAGCUCAAACUCAAGCUGACAAGCACUUGACUGGGACCAUCACAUCAUUCUUCAGUGACAGGGUCCUGAGCAAGAGGGGCCGGGGAUCAGAGGUAAAGAAGAUAAAACAGAGUAAUGCAUUUGAUUUUGAUGAGGCCCAAUGAAAUACACAGGAGCAAACAAGGUCUUUGGGAAAACGAACUCAGAAUAGCUACUUCCAGCUCGUAUCCAAAGGGGAUAGAAUCAAGAAGAAAAGAGUCCGUGGCAUGCUCAGAAAUUUACUGGAAAGAGUCAAGCUGAGAAAACCAUUCAACUGCAAAGACACACUACCUUACCUGGGUGAGGAAGGAUAACUUGGAGAGGAACUGAGAUCCCAAAUUACAGAGCCAGGAACCAUGGAGGAUCCAAGGGACUUCCAACGUUCAGAAGAUGGCUUUCUCAAAUCAAGAAGACCCUCACCAGAACCUGCUGGUAGCCAAUGAGAGUUUCUAGGCUCUGAAACUGUAUUGUUGUGCUCGGAAUGCUGCAGCCUCCAUCUUGAGACUCCACCCAACACCAAUACAGGCAAGAGGAGCAGAGGGUGUCCAACUCCUACACAUGGGCCGCUAAACUUCCCCCAGCCAACCAAAAAGCUGGUUUUUAGUUAAAAAUACUGUCUGCUGAUAAAAGAAAUAAGGAUGAGUGUAUCAUUCAACCCUCAUUGGAGAAGCUUCCUCCUGCAGUAGAUGGGAAUUAGCAGAGACCAACAACUGGACAUAAGUAAUGAGUGAGAGACUUGGAGGCCCUCAGUCCCACAUGGGAGGUCUUCGUCAAAUUCCUUCCCUGAAGGCUUAGGGAGCUAUGUAGAUGAGGAGACAGAAAGAUCGUAAGAGCCAGAGAUGGCGGGUGAUUCCAAGGAACAAUGUCUUCCAGACACAACAGGACUGAUCUACAUGUAAGUUCACAGAGACUGUGAAGCCCACAAAACCUGCACAAGUUCAAACAAGACAAAAUCCCAGCACCGAGAAGGGGAAAUGGACCCAGGUAGAGUCCUAGCCCUAACUAAAGAGCUAUUUGCAAGUGAUGUUUACUGGGAAAGGGAAAAUCCAUUUUCUCUCGUGGAGUGUCACUGGGCAUAUCAGUCA